rnacentral:tRNA from 1 species
GCGGGCAUAGCUCAGCUGGUUAGAGCACCAGAUUGUGGCUCUGGGGGUCGCGGGUUCGAAUCCCGUUGCCCGCCC